rnacentral:rRNA from 1 species
AGAGUUUGAUUCUGGCUCAGGAUGAACGCUAGCUACAGGCUUAACACAUGCAAGUCGCGGGGCAGCAUGGUCUUAGCUUGCUAAGACUGAUGGCGACCGGCGCACGGGUGAGUAACGCGUAUCCAACCUUCCCCUUAGUAGGGCAUAGCCCGGCGAAAGUCGGAUUAAUACCCUAUGUUCUUCGUAGAUGGCAUCUGAGACGAAGCAAAGGUUAGCGCUAAGGGAUGGGGAUGCGUCUGAUUAGGCAGUCGGCGGGGUAACGGCCCACCGAGCCAUCGAUCAGUAGGGUUCUGAGAGGAAGGUCCCCCACAUUGGAACUGAGACACGGUCCAAACUCCUACGGGAGGCAGCAGUGAGGAAUAUUGGUCAAUGGGCGAGAGCCUGAACCAGCCAAGUAGCGUGCAGGACGACGGCCCUACGGGUUGUAAACUGCUUUUAUGCGGGGAUAAAGUGCCCUACGUGUAGGGUAUUGCAGGUACCGCAUGAAUAAGGACCGGCUAAUUCCGUGCCAGCCGCCGC